GUGCUGGCUUCAGCAACACAUAUACUAAAACUGGAACAUAACAGAGAUUAGCACGGCCCCUGUACAAGGAUGACAUGCAAAUUUGUGAAGUGUCCCAUAUUAAA